UAUAGGAGAAAUCGCAUAGGAGAUCUCGUCAAGGAAUAUCACAAAUCAGGUGAGCCUUGAUGUGGGGACUUGGGCCGGAGGGGAUUCAGAGUGGCCACGGUGAUUGUCUUUGGACUUUUAAAUAAGCGUAGGUUUUCUUUAAAUUUCCUUUAAAUAUUAUUUAUUUUUGGGUUGUAAUAAGGCCAUUUUAACUUUCCUUUUAUUUCUUUUCGGGAUUACUUUAAUUUUAAUAACUUUAAACCUGGUUGAUAAUUAUUCAAAUGGGCUAGACUUAGGACGUGUUUUCAAAA